GUAGGGAAUUUUCGGCAAUGGACGAAAGUCUGACCGAGCAACGCCGCGUGAGUGAAGAAGGUUUUCGGAUCGUAAAACUCUGUUGGUAGAGAAGAACGUUGGUGAGAGUGGAACGCUCAUCAAGUGACGGUAACUACCCAGAAAGGGACGGCUAACUACGUGCCAGCAGCCGCGGUAAUACGUAGGUCCCGAGCGUUGUCCGGAUUUAUUGGGCGUAAAGCGAGCGCAGGGGGUUUAUUAAGUCUGGUGUAAAAGGCAGUGGCUCAACCAUUGUCUGCAUUGGAAACUGGUAGGCUUGAGUGCAGGAGAGGAGAGUGGAAUUCCAGGUGUAGCGGUGAAAUGCGUAGAUAUAUGGAGGAACACCGGUGGCUAAAGCGGCUCUCUGGCCUGUAACUGACACUGAGGCUCGAAAGCGUGGGGAUCAAACAGGAUUAGAUACCCGAGUAGUCC
rnacentral:rRNA from 1 species